GCACUGGUGGCCGGAGUUCGCCAGUGGCGCCCCCUCCACCGUGGUCGCCGCCUGGGGCGUGAUGCUGUGGUGCGCGUCCGCGCCGGUGUUC
rnacentral:tRNA from 1 species